rfam:Candidate division WWE3 bacterium RIFCSPLOWO2_01_FTLL_39_13 rifcsplowo2_01_scaffold_1089, whole genome shotgun sequence.
GUGGUUGUAGCUCAAUGGUCAGAGCGCCUGUCUGUGGAACAGGAGGUUGUGGGUUCGAGCCCCAUCAACCACC